AAAAAAAACUUGCUUUCUUUAAAACAAAUCGAUCGAAUAACUAAUCUCGAGUAACUUUUUCUUUCAUAAUUUUUUGGAGGAAGCAAAUAUCUUCUUAGCCAACUGUGCUAACAAGUGUAGUUGAUGAUUCUAAAAGGGAUAAUUGUCUAUUUAUCUUUCAAAACUUUAGAAAUAUUUUAUUUACUCAUAAUUUUUUUUCUUUUCAAUAUAUUCCUUAUAUAUUUAUCCGUUAAUCCAAAAUAUUCCUACAGUUAUCAUUCGUUAAGUUAACUUAGGUUCAACGUAAACUAAAUAUCUAGCAGAGUUAAAAAAAAAAAAAAUCAAAAUGCUUCUUUCGCUCUUAUCAGCAAAUAAGAAAUGUUGGUGAUAGCGGAAUGGUAUAUUUAAAAACACAAAAAAUUUAAAUAUUUUUUGUGUCCCUAACUUAAGGGCAAAUAAGAAAAGUUGGUGAUAGUAGAAGAAUAUAUUUAAAAAGGUAAAAUAGUAAUUUCAUUGAGAUAAUAAUUAUUGCUAAUAGUUUAACAGAAUUUAACUCUAGAAAUAUAUUUAAAAUAGGUUGAAACAUAAAAAUAGUAUUUAUAAUAUUAGCCUUUUUAGAUAAAUCAGAAAAUUAAAAACGUUUUAGGGUAUAUAAACAAUUGCCCAUUCUAAUAAUAAUCUUAACAAGUGAUAUGCUCUCUAUUAGAGUAGCAUAUGAGUAGGGAUGCAAUCGGGCGGAUCCGGGGGCGGGAGGGUUCCCCACCUCCUGCUCCAUUUCUUUUCGGAAUGGGACGGAUUCGGAGCGGAUUAUUUUUAUUUUAUUUUUAGCUUUCACUAACCGCCCCAUUCGGGGCGGAUCAAGCGGGAGCAAAUUUUUGGCGGAUUUUUGACGGAUCAAGACGAAUUGAAGGAAGAAAAGUGUCUCUUGCCUGCCGCUCCAUUUACUUGGCAGUUCGGGACGGAUUCGGAACGGAUUAUAUUUUUUUUAUAUUUCUUGUUCCCAUUUACAGAGUUACAGUCCCAUUCGGAACGUAUCGGAGCGGGAACUCUACCAACUUGGAUCUAUUUGCAU
rnacentral:lncRNA from 1 species